AUUGAACGCUGGCGGCAUGCUUUACACAUGCAAGUCGAACGGCAGCACGGGUGCUUGCACCUGGUGGCGAGUGGCGGACGGGUGAGUAAUACAUCGGAACGUGUCCAGAAGAGGGGGAUAACGCAUCGAAAGAUGUGCUAAUACCGCAUAUGCUCUGAGGAGGAAAGUGGGGGAUCGAAAGACCUUACGCUUUUGGAGCGGCCGAUGUCUGAUUAGCUAGUUGGUGGGGUAAGGGCCUACCAAGGCGACGAUCAGUAGUUGGUCUGAGAGGACGACCAGCCACACUGGGACUGAGACACGGCCCAGACUCCUACGGGAGGCAGCAGUGGGGAAUUUUGGACAAUGGGCGCAAGCCUGAUCCAGCAAUGCCGCGUGAGUGAAGAAGGCCUCGGUUGUAAGAC
rnacentral:rRNA from 1 species